rnacentral:snoRNA from 1 species
GCAUGUGUGAUGUGAACAAAACAGUCUGAGACACUGUGAUACUGUAAACGCUUUCUGAUGUG